AGUGAGACAAAGAGUAACUUUAAAAAAAAAAUACCAGCGUUAACUGGAUUUGUCAAAAAGGAUUCGGCAAAGUGGAAGGUAGUCCUGUGGCUCCGGUAUGGGGACUCCACAACCCUGCCAUGAGCUAAGAAGACUUAAAGCAGCUUUAAAUAAGACAAAUCCUGGCGCAACCUGGGCCGGACACUGACUGAAACAACUGAAACAAGCGUCAGCAAAGACAACACUGAGGAUGCCUCAGCGGUUGUCAGCACAGGACCAUAGAUCCAUUCAAUAAACGGGAGAUUUCAUUUCUGACACUGUCCGUGCCUGCUGGGUAAAAGUGGAUCUGGAAAUUUGUCAAAACAGAGAUGCUGACCAGUCCGCCUCAGUGGUGUCUGCAGGACCCCAAACACAACAUAAAGUUAUUUGGAAAGAAAUCUUACAUCACAACAAGUUGGUUUCAUAAUAUCCAGUUCGCCCAUAUUUAAAAUUGCCCUGGGGGGUGGCAGGAUUGGUUGGUGCCCUUACUAAUGUUGAAAACAAACCUACACCAGGGUCAAAGGUCAAGGACACAAUGACCUCACAGCUGUUCAACUCUUGUGAAUGCAGUAUCUCAGGAAGACCUUGAGGGAAUUUCUUCAAAUUUGCCACAAACAUCCA